CUCUCUCUCUCUCUCUCUCUCUCUCUCUCUCUCCCUGGACGCGAUCACCGCUGAGCUGUCCUUGCCUCGUCCAUCCCGUAGGUCUGAAUGCAAAGGUCUGCCGCUCAGCCAGAUGUGCUUCCAAUAUGGCGUGCUCUAUGAGGCGGGUUGCAGGCGGGUGGCAGCAGCAUGACUCGGGCGCUCUCUGCAGAAGUUCAAGCUCGAGAGGACCUCCUGAUGAGGAUAUGCGUGUGGCAAUGUGGCAAUAGGUGGAGGGGCCACGCGAUAAGCACAGGGCAAUGUGCAAGGAGGCUCGUCAGUCUGUUUGUCUUGUCUGAUUGCCCGCCUGUCUGUCUGUCUGUCUGUCUCCCCCUCUCUCCCUCUCUCUUCUUCUCUCCGUCUCGCUUUCUUUCUCCAAUUCACUAUCGCUAAGAUAGGUAUGAGGAAAAAGAUUGUAAUCGUAAUGGAGAUGAAUUAAAUCAUAUCGACGGGCUUAUUAUACAGUCAUUUGUGAGUUUAUUAUCAUUAUUAUAUGUAUUUUUGUUUCAUUAAGCAAAAGAAACAGACAUGUGAGGAGAAACUAAGGGAUGCCUUUGACAAUUAGACUCUGGCGUUAAGUCGAAUGCAGUUAAAGGGUGCAUAGCAAGUGCAAUCUUGCACAGAAAAUUGGUCUCAUGGGAUUUUUGCUUAAAAGAUUGACAUAAUUGUUUUGGGACGUUGCUUUUUCUGGGCGUUUCCUCGGUUUUAUAUGUUUUUCUGUUCCUUUUCCUUUCUUUCUUUUGCCCUUAGGGUAUUUCUUCUUCAUAUACCUGUUUUUCAUAUACUUGUUCUUCAUACACUUGUCAUUCGUAAACUAUCAUCCUACCUUAGACUACAUCAUUGUGUCUUUGUUUAUUAUCCUUUGUUUUUGUUUUUUUUUUUACCAAAAUUGGGCAAAGGCAACUCGUGCCUCCUUCUUUAAAACAUCCGAGCGACACACCGCGCUACUCUCGGAGGAAAUGGCUCGUCAAAUAAUCUGUUUACAGACGCAACACAGGACAUUAGGCCCGGCGUGGACUCCCGCGAGAGGGAGCGGGUCACGACUGUCAUAUUUACAUCAUGGUCGACAUCUCCAGGCGCGACAUCAAGCGGUGUGAAAUCCACAGUCCGUAGGCUGCUUUUCAAGCCAUGAAGUAUCUUUAGAAAUCAGCGCCUCAUCAUCUUGGAAACGUUUGCCUCUCAAAAAUGACUUCAUAGACGGACGUGUUGAAGGUCAUAUGGUGCAAGGAUAGGUGAAUAAAGAGGAUGAGGAAGGAUGUUGGAGCCACACGACCGCGUUCCCAUCAAGCCAG